rnacentral:rRNA from 1 species
GACGAACGCUGGCGGCGUGCUUAACACAUGCAAGUCGAGCGGUAAGGCCCUUUCGGGGGUGCACGAGCGGCGAACGGGUGAGUAACACGUGGGUGACCUGCCCUUAGCUCUGGGAUAAGCCUGGGAAACUGGGUCUAAUACCGGAUAUGACUCCAUGACGCAUGUUGUGGGGUGGAAAGCCUUGUGCGGCUAGGGAUGGGCCCGCGGCCUAUCAGCUUGUUGGUGGGGUGAUGGCCACCAAGGCGACGACGGGUAGCCGGCCUGAGAGGGCGACCGGCCACACUGGGACUGAGACACGGCCCAGACUCCUACGGGAGGCAGCAGUGGGGAAUCUUGCGCAAUGGGCGAAAGCCUGACGCAGCGACGCCGCGUGAGGGAUGACGGCCUCGGUGUAAC